rnacentral:rRNA from 1 species
UACGUAGGCAGCGAGCGUUGUUCGGAGUUACUGGGCGUAAAGGGUGUGUAGGCGGUCCGGUAAGUCCGCUGUGAAAGUCGGGGGCUCAACCCUCGAAUGCCGGUGGAUACUGUCGGGCUAGAGUGCGGAAGAGGCGAGUGGAAUUCCUGGUGUAGCGGUGAAAUGCGCAGAUAUCAGGAGGAACACCAGUUGCGAAGGCAGGCUCGCUGGGACGUACUGACGCUGAGACGACGAAGCGUGGGGAGCAAACAGG